GAUGAACGCUAGCGGCAGGCCUAACACAUGCAAGUCGAGGGGUAACAUAGGAAAGCUUGCUUUUCUGAUGACGACCGGCGCACGGGUGCGUAACGCGUAUACAACCUACCUUUUAGCGGGGAAUAGCCCAGGGAAACUUGGAUUAAUGCCCCAUAGUAUAUAGACUUCUCCUGAAGUUUAUAUUAAACAUUUAUGGCCAUUAGAUGGGUAUGCGUCCUAUUAGUUAGUUGGUAAGGUAACGGCUUACCAAGGCAGCGAUAGGUAGGGGUCCUGAGAGGGAGAUCCCCACACUGGUACUGAGACACGGACCAGACUCCUACGGGAGGCAGCAGUGAGGAAUAUUGGACAAUGGGCGAGAGCCUGAUCCAGCCAUGCCGCGUGCAGGAAGACUGCCCUAUGGGUUGUAAACUGCUUUUACAGAGGAAGAACCACCCCCACGUGUGGGGGUUUGACGGUACUCUGCGAAUAAGGAUCGGCUAACUCCGUG
rnacentral:rRNA from 1 species